rnacentral:misc_RNA from 1 species
ACCCCUUGACAUGGGAAGUAUGAGCCCUGUUUCCAAGGCUCAUACUUCCCAUGUCAAGGGGUGGUAAGGUUCUUCGCGUUGCGUCGAAUUAAACCACAUGCUCCACCGCUUGUGCGGGCCCCCGUCAAUUCCUUUGAGUUUUAACCUUGCGGCCGUACUCCCCAGGCGGAGAGCUUCACGCGUUAGCUGCGACACAGGGGGGCAAGCCCCCCAACGUCUAGCUCUCAUAGUUUACGGCGUGGACUAC